rnacentral:tRNA from 1 species
AGGGUAUAGCUCAGUUGGUAGAGCGACGGUCUCCAAAACCGUAGGUCGCGGGUUCGAACCCUGCUGCCCUGCCA